AUUGAACGCUAGCGGGAUGCUUUACACAUGCAAGUCGAACGAGUGGCGGACGGGUGAGUAAUAUAUCGGAACGUGCCCAGUAGCGGGGGAUACCCAUUCGAAAGAGUGGCUAAUACCCCCUACUCUUGGAGCGGCCGAUAUCGGAUUAGCUAGUUGGGGGGGUAAAGGCUAACGAAGGCAAAGAUCCGUAGCUGGUUUGAGAGGACGACCAGCCACACUGGAACUGAGACACGGCCCAGACUCCUACGGGAGGCAGCAGUGGGGAAUUUUGGACAAUGGGGGAAACCCUGAUCCAGCCAUCCCGCGUGUAUGAGAAGGCCUUCGGGUUGUAAAGUACUUUUGGCAGAGAGGCGGUAUCUGCAGAAGAAGCACCGGCUAACUCCGUGCCAGCAGCCGCGGUAAUAC
rnacentral:rRNA from 1 species